rnacentral:rRNA from 1 species
CGGGGUGAGUAACGCGUGAGGAACCUGCCUCAAAGAGGGGGACAACAGUUGGAAACGACUGCUAAUACCGCAUAAGCCCACGGCUCGGCAUCGAGCAGAGGGAAAAGGAGUGAUCCGCUUUGAGAUGGCCUCGCGUCCGAUUAGCUGGUUGGUGAGGUAACGGCCCACCAAGGCGACGAUCGGUAGCCGGACUGAGAGGUUGAACGGCCACAUUGGGACUGAGACACGGCCCAG